UACGUAGGUGGCAAGCGUUGUCCGGAAUUAUUGGGCGUAAAGCGCGCGCAGGCGGUCCUUUAAGUCUGAUGUGAAAUCUCGCGGCUCAACCGCGAGCGGUCAUUGGAAACUGGGGGACUUGAGUGCAGAAGAGGAGAGCGGAAUUCCACGUGUAGCGGUGAAAUGCGUAGAGAUGUGGAGGAACACCAGUGGCGAAGGCGGCUCUCUGGUCUGUAACUGACGCUGAGGCGCGAAAGCGUGGGGAGCAAACAGG
rnacentral:rRNA from 1 species